rnacentral:snRNA from 1 species
GGAUGUGAGAGCAAUCUGGUUGCGACUUCUGUUACCCUAAGUAUUCCAUUCCUCCCUCAAGGCUCCACACAUGCAUCCCUCAAGAAGCUUCUUCCUCUGUCAACGAUGAUGACCUUCCCUAAUAAAGGAGGGUUGGUCAAGGGAAUACAAGUAGCUGCACUCCCCUGCUAGAACCUCCAAACAAGCUCUCAAGAAUGUAACACUAAGUCAGGCAUGGUGGCACAUGCCUUUGAUUCCAACACUCUCAAGGCAGAGGCAGGUGGAUCUCCAAGAUU